UAGCCCUGCCUUUUUAUCUUCUUUGGUUGUUACAAGCGUCCUUUGAAUUGUUAAUACUGGAUUUCCUUGUUGACAUAGAUAUGCACCAACAGGUUCAAUAACUGUUUGUUACACCUGCAUUUUCAGUUUCUCACUGUUGAGUUAAUCUAUAAGACUUUUUUAUUGCUCUUUGUAUAGCGUAUUAUCACUGGUAAUCUGUACGUUACUAAAGUAAAAACAUUAGCCUUG